rfam:Anaerobacillus sp. NB2006 Ga0137927_1156, whole genome shotgun sequence.
UAACCUAAUUAGUGAUAAUUAGCUGAGCAGUCAGAAGUCAGCAGAGGUCAUAGUACCUUAUCAACUCGAGGUGAUGGGGGAAGGAC